ACUUUCAGUGAGAUGACAAAUAAGCAUCUCAAACUUAACAGGUACUUCAUGCAACCUAAUGUGCCCCAAUCCACCAAAGCCAGCUCCUUUAAAAGCAUUUCCAUUUCAGUAAAACUUGAUUUCUCCUUGGUUGCUGUUCAAGAGAAAAUCCUGUUGAGUCCAUGUUUAAAACACAUCUAGAACUUGACCAUUUCUCUAUUAUACUGGCUGCCCGCACCUUGGUCAAAGUCCCAAUUACCUCUGCCAUGGAUACUUUCAAUAGCUAGCUGACUUGUCUCCCUGGUUCAACUCCUGCCCUUCUUCAGCCAAUUCUUCCUACAACAGACAGUAUUACCUGAUAAAACUGUGAGUCAGAUCAUCUUAACGUUUUUCUUCUUCAACCAGAUUUUUGAAAAGAUUAAGGGGACCCACGUGGUUCAGCCAUCUAUUACUCCUCUGACAUAAGUCCCUGUGCCCCUCGUGUCUCACUCCACUGGAGUCACUCUCACCCCCAUGCAGGUUUUCUACCAUCCCAGUCACAAUCUUCAUUCAGGGCUUUUGCACCUACAAAUAUUCCCACUGCCUGGAAUGCCUGCCCCCAUCUCUAAUUUCACGGGGCUAGUUCCCUCACUUUUCUCAGGUCUUUAUUUUCCUUAGUGAGACGUCUUUCAUACAGCUUAAAAUUUUAUACUUCAUCAUCAUUUUAUUACCCAUUUCGCUCCUUUUCUUUUUUUUCCUUAUCAGUAUUACCAUCUAAUAUAUUGUGUAUUCAAGUUAUUCAUAUUCUAUUCCUAACUAGUAUGUAAGAAAUAGUUGUUUUAGUCUGUUCAGGCUGCUAUACCAAAAAUAUUGCAAACUAGGUCACUUAAAAAUGACGAAAAUUUAUUUCCCACAGUUCUGGAGACUGGGAAAGUACAAGAUCAUGAUAUCAGCAGACUCUGUGCCUGGUGAGGUCCCACUUCCUGGUAGAUGGCACUUUCUCACUUCUCCUCACAGGGAAGGGUGAGCUAGCUCUCUGGGCUCUCUUUUAGAAG
rnacentral:lncRNA from 1 species